rnacentral:rRNA from 1 species
GAUGAACGCUGGCGGCGUGCCUAAUACAUGCAAGUCGAGCGAACGGACGAGAAGCUUGCUUCUCUGAUGUUAGCGGCGGACGGGUGAGUAACACGUGGAUAACCUACCUAUAAGACUGGGAUAACUUCGGGAAACCGGAGCUAAUACCGGAUGAUAUUUUGAACCGCAUGGUUCAAAAGUGAAAGACGGUCUUGCUGUCACUUAUAGAUGGAUCCGCGCUGCAUUAGCUAGUUGGUAAGGUAACGGCUUACCAAGGCAACGAUGCAUAGCCGACCUGAGAGGGUGAUAGGCCACAUUGGAACUGAGACACGGUCCAGACUCCUACGGGAGGCAGCAGUAGGGAAUCUUCCGCAAUGGGCGAAAGCCUGACGGAGCAACGCCGCGUGAGUGAUGAAGGUCUUCGGAUCGUAAAACUCUGUUAUUAGGGAAGAACAUAUGUGUAAGUAACUGUGCACAUCUUGACGGUACCUAAUCAGAAAGCCACGGCUAACUACGUG